UUUCCUAGGGCAUACCUCCAAUCCUUUCACGAUCGAAGGAAGAUGAGAGGACUAGAACUAUCGUGCUGAUAACGUGUUAUAAACUAGAGAGAAGCGAGAGAAUAUAGUAGAGAAUACAAAUAUCGUUAUUAUGAAGUUCACAACACACCCAUAUUUAUAGGUGUUAAACCAAGUGUGAACGUCCGGUGUGAACGUUCACACACGUCCGGUGUGAACGUUCACACACGUCCGGUGUGAACGGAGGACAGUCAACUCCGGUGGCUUGAAGAUGUCAAGUGUUAUUCUCCCUCUAGGUUUCUUGGUCAACACACAUAAGAUAUAUCUAGAAGAUAUAUUUACAACACUUCCCCUUGAUUGACCAAUCCCUAAAAAAUGUUGCCUCAUUAAAACCUUGCUAGGAAAACCCAAUGGGACAAAACCUAGUCGAAGGAAAAAGAGUACAACUGCUUCCCCUGAACUUGAGAUCAUUGAAUAUCUUUGAGUCGACGUAUGCCGAUCUCGUGUACCAACUUUCUGAAUGUCGAUGUUGGUAAUGCCUUGGUGAAUAAGUCCGCCAGAUUUUCACUUGAGCGAAUUUGUUGCACGUCGAUAUCGUAACCCUUUUGAAGGUCGUGUGUGUAGAAGAGCUUUGGAAAAAUAUGCUUCGUCCUAUCUCCUUUGAUGUAUCCUUCCUUGAGUUGCGCGAUGCAAUCAGCAUUGUCUUCAUAUAAAACAGUUGGUUUGGCCUUUGAUGAA